AGAAACUCUUGAAGGAAAUGAUGUUGUCCUGACAUACUGAUUACUGUAAAAUCCAUUCCAGAUAAAAAUAGCACUUAAAGUAGCAUUUCACUCCCAGGACUGAGCAGGUUCAAGAGGCGGAAAAAGGUCAAAGAGCCUUGUGGGGAUUGUCCUUUCUCCUAUCCCUAGAGUCCACACAACUCCUGAAGUAAAAACCCACAGAAGAAUACUACACUUAACCUGUCAAACUUCUCACAUGCCAGAGGUUUUGGGAAUAUCACUCCUGGAAAGAGUCACAUAAAGAAGGAGGAAGCUGAACCUCUUGAGGAACAAACUAAAUACACACAAGGAAUCUCAAAUGUACAAAUUAAGCAAACUGAAAAACAGACAAACUUUCCCUAAUCCUCUGUGUAUAGGUGUUACUUUGUCAAACAGAUGAUGAAAAUAUUCCAGGUAAGAAUUGAGAUUACCUAAUUGAGAAUGCCCAUGAAAACAAAA